GCCAGGACGUAGCAAGGCUCCUGAGGCAAGCUGGGGAAUGCAGUUCUUCCUGGCCACAACAUUUUGAAUCUCACACUGCUGAAAAUACUAAUUAAUCUCUUGGGUUUCAAUAAGAAAGAAAUGAUUUCUACGAAAAGGUGAAGGGGAUUGGAGACGGCUAUCAUCUUCUAAGUAUUGACAUGUUAGAAGACAGAAACACCAGAUGGUCCAGGAGCAUAACAGGCUAAGUUUGACAGCACAAAAGUCAAGCAUAAGUAGAACUACAUAAGUAGUACUUUGAGCAGAAGUAAUCUCUGGUAUCUAGUUCAAUAGUUUCCUAGCUGAGAACCCAUCCAACCUCUACACUGCACUUGGAUAUGAAAUUUGUAGGACUAAUCCCUUUCUCCCAAUGAAUUGUUUAUAAACAUUUUGAUGGGAUUUGCAAGAUUCUGGAGAAAUAUGUAACCAAAUUACAUGAAUUGGAUAAAACCAAAGGGACCAUCAGUUCCAAUCUACCCCUCAAUAAGAAUUCGCAAUAUGACAUAAUUGCCAACUGUCAUCUGUAUUUUUGCUUGAAGACUGCCUUUGUAGAGACAUCCAACUUUCUCGGCAGACUAUCCCCCUUUAGAAUACAUCUAAUUGUUCAGUUUGUUUGUUUUGAUUUACAAAAAGCCUUCUCUUUUUGACUUCCUGAUUAAAUUUGUUCAGCUA